CCUGGCGACCAUAGCGAGCGGGAACCACCCGAUCCGAUGCCGAACUCGGCAGUGAAACCGCUCAGCGCCGAUGGUAGUGCGACCACGCUGUCGUGCGAGAGUAGGUCAUCGCCAGGC
rnacentral:rRNA from 1 species